CGGCCUUCUCCUGGGGGAGAAACAUAAUGAUGUGUUAGUCACUCUAAUGCAUGGCUGGAGGGGCUCCACUGUAGCAGGCGCCACUGUCCCCUUCACAUCCCUGUUCACUGUGGAAGGUGUGUGUAUUUGCAUUUUGUCAGAGACACGUUUGUGAUGUACGUGUGUGUGUGCGCACGCUGUGGGAGGUUUGUUAAAUGUGUUUUAGAAAGACAUGAGUGCAAGGCCUAGAUUCUGUCAGCCUAUUCAAGGUGUAUAUUGCAUCUCACAUUCCAGUGUUCGAACUUGUAAACAGGGCUCCAUGGGAUUUAUCUUAAUGCAACUCCAUACAGCCAAUGGCAAUGUCCGUUUUAGGUAUAAUGCUGGGAGCCGCUUGUGGAUUUGACAGCUCUAACACAGUUCCACCUCCGACACCACAAAAACAACAGCUACGCGGGUGUUGGAUGGCAUGAAUCUGAUAGAAUCUAGCCCUAAGUGUUGGCAUCAUGUGUGUUGUCAUCGUCUUCCACACACUUGACAGCGACCCCGACAGGAGUGGGAUGCAACCUCCCUACACCCUACCGCCCAACCGACCAAUCUCCCUUCAGGCCUAUAACAGAAAUAAUCCACCUAUCACAACAACUUGGGGAAACUCCAUUUUCUGCCACAAUAUCGCCAUCUCUCCUCUUUGUUCAGCCAUCUUUAAUCAUUUCUAGUUAUUGAGUGAUUCCUUUCGCAAAUCAAACAUUGUUUUUAUUUUAGUACCAGUGUGUGCUGUUGUGGUAUAGGUGAGGGCUGUAUUUUCUUUGGUUGACAUAAUGAUUCUCGGCGAGAAUUUGAAGACGCCCACUUUGAAAGGAUGAGAGCAAAACGGACGUUACUUCGUGGUCUCUGUUAACGUAGGACACUGUGGUUGACUGUGUGCUUGUUUUUAGACAGCUCACCUACAGUAUACUGUGUAGUGCAGGGGCCAAGAAUAAUAGGAAUAAUGUGAAUUCACUCAAAACUCAAAAAUGUGGGUUCCUGAGUGGCGCAGCGGUGUAAGGCACUCCAUCUGAAUCCAGGCUGCAUCACAUCCAGCCUUGAUUGGGAGUCCCAUAGGACGGGGCACAAUUGGUCAAGCCUCGUCCGGGUUAGGCCGUCAUUGUAAAUAAGAAUUUGUUCUUAAAUUACUUGCCUAGUUAAAUAAGGUUACAUUAAAAAUAUAUAUAAUAAUAAUAAAUCCACUACCCAGACAUUCACACAAUCACCGAAGAGGAUUUAAAAAAAGAUUUAUAGGAACGUUUACAAAGUUUGUGUAUAAUCAGUGUUUGCAUCGCCGAUGAAUCACAAAACGUAAUUAUUGACAAGAAGAGGUGUUAAUCCUAUCUGGUGUUUCCAGAGGGAAGAAAAUAGGUGUGACACAGCAGCACUGACCGAGCAGGCUUUAGAUGAUUCAUUUGGGUCCCUGUUCAUUUGAGAAUGAGAGGGAGAGUCCUCAGUAAACACUUUACUUAAGCAUGCAGGUACAACCAUUCUGUAAGGCUUGCUUAUAAAACGUUAUAACGUAUUACUACUACAGGCUUCAAGUAAAAGUGUUACUGAGUCAUUUUCUCAACACCAGUGAUAAGCUCUCACACCAAUGAGCAGGUAGAACAAGCUUAUCUUCUAAUCAGAAAUCCCAUCUGACAGCCAAUCAAUUGUCUCCAUCCCUUUUCAUGAAACACCAGGACUUCAACGUUAAUAUGAGAACUGCUGAUAGGUGAGUACCCAGGAAGUGUUUGGUGGCAUUGGUUUGAAGUAAAUUGAAUACAUUUAUUGCAUUGAAUGUGUAUAAAGGAAUGAUUUAAAGAAAAGAGUACAUCUAUAGAAUAAUGAUAUGUAUAAUAUUUCUAAAAAGGUUUCGAGAGAGAAUUUCUAUGAAAGAAUAUGACCAUUGCAUCCACCCUCAGAACUUAUUUCCUUGUCACUUUACCCCUGUUUUGUGUUUGGAUAGUGCCUCAAAUAGCUCAUUAUUCUCUACAUAGUGCCCCAUUUCUGGCCUUUCUGCCUCUGAACUAGAUUAUAACUACCACAUAAUGCACUGCAAAGAGAAGUGUGGAAGCCAUGUAUUCUACUGUACCCAGAUUACCUAUAUAUUAUAACAUAUCACUAAAACGUGAACAGUAUGUGUGAUCAUUUGAGACAUUAUCCAUGAUUCCAUCAGUUCACAGGGAUGUUCUAUGAACAUAACCAUGAUUGUUUGGAUUGUCUGCAAUUUAGGGUCUCCUGUUGGACCAAAAAAAAAGCUCCCUUGGUGAGAUUCCUUUCUCUCGCUCCCUGUCCCUGUGUGCAACAGUAUGAUGAUGAAGGGAAGACAAAGGGAUGAUAAAAUAAAAAAGGGAAUACCAGGCUGACAGAAAGAGAGGACCUGUAGGAGUUUUAACGCUGCUAUAAUCCAUUCAUUAUUUUAAAAGAAACAACAAGAGUGACAUAGAAAAAAAAGCACAGUAUUUUUUAUGAUUAUAUAGAAUUAUAUGGAAUUUUCUAAAAGACAUUUGGAGAAAAAUGUGGUUUGCCAAAAAUAUAUAUAUAUAUAUAUAUUUUUUUUUAUAUAUAUAUAUAUUAUAUAUAAAUAUGAAUUAAUAGAAAUUAAUAUUAUCAGAUUUAUGAGGAAACUAAGAAGCAAUAUUUUUACUGAAUGGAUCUCCUUGGUUGUGGUUUUUCCCAGUCUUAAGAUGAACUAUCAUGAUAUAUCAUCACCUGUUGAUGUUAUGAACACUGAUAGCUGGAGUGGACAGAAGACAUUUGUCCAAUCAAAAUGUAUUUUAUACACUAUCCUCUGGCCAUCACCUGCCUAUCUUGAAUAUUGUAAUUUUUGACAAUUCCAAUCACUUAGUCUGUGUAUAAUGUGUGUAUAAAUGACUGAAACGCUUUAAAUGUAUACAUAAGCUCACAGUCCACUGGAUCGAAAACUGUCCCGAUGACACUUUUAUGCUCAACUUACAUAAGACAUGUACAAAAAAAGACUAGUUGUGACUGUUGACUUCAUGGAAAAAAACAACAUAUCACUAAGCUAAUUUAUUUGCAGAAUUAUAGAACUGAGUAGUCGUAUUAAGAUGCUAUACAAACCAUCACUGUGUGACUAUAAGGCUAUGCUACAUAAGGACUGGCGUGGCUCACUAUCAUCACAACACAGUCCUUCACUUAAACAUCGGCAACGAUUUUGAUACUUUUGUUAUUUUCUCUUAUGAUUGAAUUUUUUAAUUUUAUUUUUUAUUCUACAUAAUUACAAAGACGUUUCUGGCUCUUUGUGUAUAUUUGUGUUCAUGUUCCAUAUGUUGUAAUUCUGCAUACUUAGAGUCGACUAUCUAAUUAUCAAAAUGAAAAAGAAAGAGAAGUUCCUUGUAACUGCACUCUUCCUUCCCCCCAAAUCCUCAAUACUUCUUGUAUGGCAACCAAACAAAAGUUACUGUAAGAAAUAAAUAUAACAUUGCACUAUGGUUGUAUUCAUUUAAUUCCUGAUGUGCCGAUUUUUGUGUU
ensembl:lncRNA